rnacentral:rRNA from 1 species
GACGAACGCUGGCGGCGUGCUUAACACAUGCAAGUCGAACGGAAAGGCCCUGCUUUUGUGGGGUGCUCGAGUGGCGAACGGGUGAGUAACACGUGAGUAACCUGCCCUUGACUUUGGGAUAACUUCAGGAAACUGGGGCUAAUACCGGAUAGGAGCUCCUGCUGCAUGGUGGGGGUUGGAAAGUUUCGGCGGUUGGGGAUGGACUCGCGGCUUAUCAGCUUGUUGGUGGGGUAGUGGCUUACCAAGGCUUUGACGGGUAGCCGGCCUGAGAGGGUGACCGGCCACAUUGGGCCUGAGAGACGGCCCAGACCCCUACGGGAGGCAGGAGUGGGGAAUAUUGCACAAUGGGCGGAAGCCUGAUGCAGCAACGCCGGGUGCGGGAGGACGGCCUUCGGGUUGUAAACCGCUUUCGCCUGUGACGAAGCGUGAGUGACGGUAAUGGGGAAAGAAGCACCGGCUAACUACGU